GACUGCUUGCCGCUGAGCAAUACUAGGAUUCCCAGGACAAAUGCUGUAGUACUGAGGAUCUCUACACAAUUUUCAAAUAUCAUGAAGCCAUGAACAUGAUUACAGCUUUCUCAUUUUACAGGUUAGGAAAAUAAAGUAGAAAAGUAAAUCCAUUGAAGACAAUAAGCAAUGGAUAUCACCAGCAACAGAAUACUGAGCAUCAUCAGAAUUAUCUUGCUCCCUGGCUCCAGAAUCUACUAUCUGCUACCAUGGAGACAGAUGGCCAAGGACAGCCACCUGGAUUCCAUAUCAUCUCCUCCUCCUUCCUGUAACCAGUGUCCCAAGGCCGAACACAGGCUGGUGGGAAAGCUCUGACCAGCAAGGCCACGGACUCCCCCCACCUCUCUACAAGCAGACACAUUCCUCACAAAUUUUUAAAACCCCUCAUCUCCCCUAUUUAAGGGAGACGAGAUGAAAAAAGACAAAUUUGAGGACUCUCUCUUAUCUCCUGGCUGAUAUCACCGGAAAUAAAAACCCUUUCCUUGCCAUAAGCCUGGCAUCCCAGUUUUUAUUUGGCUCCUCUUGUGGUGAGUAAAGAACCUAUGGUUGUAGGCAGUAACAGAAUGGAGGUUAAGAACAUGGGUUUCUGCCACAAUACUUGUGUGACCUCAAGAAAGUUAGUUCAUCUCUUUGAGCCUGCCUCAAUUUUCUAACGUAUAAAAUCUAGAAUCUGAUGAUAAUAAUUGCUAUGCAUAUUCACAGGACUGCUGUAAGAAUUAAAUGAAAUAAUGGAUACGAAAGGCCUUUGAUAUCUACUAAUUUCAAUAGAAGCCUAAAAAACAUUCUGUGAAGCCUGUAUUAGACAAAUAUGUAAUAAAGAUAAGUGAUGCUUGACAUAAAGCUUCUUCUUAACCUCUUCCAUAGCAUUUAUAGGGACCUGAAUUGGGCAUAAAGAGGAGGCCAAGUGUGCUAUAACUACUCCUGAGAAGAUUUUUCUAUAGGCAAAAUAGAGUACUGUAUUUGAAGUAGAGUUGUAUAUUAAACAUGUUGCAGAGUACAAUUGGUUCCUGUUAUAUUCAGUGAACACCCUUAUCUGCAUGAAUUAAUGAUCUCUUCCCAAACUAUUUGAAUUCUUUGGAGGAUGAUGCAGUUUGGAUGAGUGUGUAAAACUAGACCAAAUGCUCUGGGAAUCAAUUCAAUUAAAAAUCAAAUAUAUCAAACUGUUUUUUUCUUGUUUUUUAAUGAAUUGCCACACUUUUAGCACCCAAAGAUAUAGCCCAUGAAUGAAUUGAACCAAUUACCUUUAAAUAUUCACUCUUGGGAUAAAACAUUUUUAACAAGUUGUCUGGAUCCUUCUAUCCUUAAGAUGGAAGGCGGCAUGACCCCCUUCCCCCACACAUGACUCCUUGGCUCUGUCCCUAAAUACAUUUUUUGAAAGCAUAAGGGCAACCUUGCUUUUCCAUGCUCAAACCACUUAUAUUCUAGGAUCCUGUUUUCAGAUUGGCCUGCCUCAGUUCCUGGAACCUCACAAUUUGGGAAAUGGGCAGAACUGAGGUCUCAGAAUUCUACCCAUGUUCCCUUUGCCAGCCAAUGACUCUUUGUGAGAUAGGUAGGUAGAUGAUUGGA